CUAUAACACAUUGAAACACCGGUUCACUUGCUAUCACCGAAGUUAAGCAACAUCAAAUCUGGUCAGUACCUAGAUUAGUGACCACUUGGGAGUUCUAGGUGUUGUAAG